GUGUGUGUGCGUGUGUGUGUGUGUCUCCUACCCAGUGCCCAAGGCUCAGUGUAAAGAGGAGGAGUUUGGUCAGUUUCCCUACCGGCUGCUGGACUGGUUCUUGCUCUUGAGCCGUAUGGGGGAGAGUUAUGAUCCCAAUGCCCCCUCUCAGAGCUGCCUGAGCCGAACAGCACGCAUCCAGCUCGCCCAGCGGAGGUUUGUCCUCCUGGACCGGAACCAGGAUGGGAAAUUGAGCCGGCGGGAUCUGAAGAAGCUGCAUUAUAAAAGGAUGCCUCUGGAGCAUUGUGCCAAGAGAUUCUUCCAAUCGUGUGACAAGAACAGGAACAAGAAGGUGACCCUGAAGGAGUGGACCUCGUGCCUGGUGAAGGGGUCUGAGCGCUGGUUCCAGCAUUACAUGUCUAUGAAGAUGGGUUCUCGCAAGUUAUGUCCUACAACUGAAAGCAAUCUUUAGUUCAGCUGCAGACAAAAUAAAAACACUCUUAUGGAGGGUUAAAUCAACUCAACUAAGUCAGAACAGGAGAGGAGUGGAGCGGACAGAAGAGGAAAGAAGAGAAGACGAGAGGAGGACUACAGGACAGGACAGGACAGGGCAAAGAAAAAAAAGAGUAAGGAGAAUAACGCCAGAGAGGAGCACAGAAGAGGAGAGGGCACCAGCCUGGUACUUCUC
ensembl:lncRNA